rnacentral:misc_RNA from 1 species
CGAAAUGCGAUAAGUAAUGUGAAUUGCAGAAUUCAGUGAAUCAUCGAAUCUUUGAACGCACCUUGCGCUCCUUGGUAUUCCUUGGAGCAUGCCUGUUUGAGUAUCAUGAAAUCUUCAAAGUAAAUCUUUUGUUAACUCAAUUGGUUUCUACUUUGGUAUUGGAGGUCUUUGCAGCUUCACACCUGCUCCUCUUUGUUCAUUAGCUGGAUCUCAGUGUUAUGCUUGGUUCCACUCGGCGUGAUAAGUUAUCUAUCGCUGAGGACACUGUAAAAGGUGGCCAAGGUAAAUGCAGAUGAACCGCUUCUAAUAGUCCAUUGACUUGGACAAUACUUUUAUGAUCUGAUCUCAAAUCAGGUAGGACUACCCGCCGAACUUAAGC